GUGAGUAUAGCUCAGUGGUAGAACACAUGCUUGGCAUGCAUGAGGUCCUGGGUUCAAUCUCCAAUACCUCUG
rnacentral:tRNA from 1 species